UUUAUGCCUUGUUCUCUCAACUCCCUGCCACUUCUCUCUACUCAAUAAUACGAUGGCUAGCAAAAUGGAUGCAACAACGAUAGCUACAAAAGUUCAGGUUCAGGAGCGAUGCGGGAACGACUGCUUCGGGAAAUGGCUCAACCUAGCUCUUCCUCCGCUGACCUCACGACAUCCCCAGAUCCAUCCCCAGCCCCAAAGCUUCUCAACUGCCUGCUUCCAUCCUGUCGCUCCGUUGCUGCAUCGCCCUGCAGCUCUUCAGCGGCGGGCAGCUCACCCAAGAAUCUCAUGCACUUGCUGAGGAACCUAAGGUGAGGCAGGGCAUUGAGUGGAACGAUGCUAUGGUGUAGAGGUGGCUCUGCAGGCCAGGGAGGCCCUUGCUUGACGAGGCGGUGACCUACAUCCCCGCUGGAGGAGGACAAAUAUACCUACCUGCUAUUUCUUCACAGUCUGACCUGCUGCUUCUUCACAGUCUGGCCCUCUACAUCCUCACGCAGGUUCGAGCACGACAUGCUUGCCUUGGUCGAAGACCUCAACACCGAGGAGGUGAGUUGACCGCAUCUGCGUCAGCAGCAAGCAGGGGACUACGAUGGAAGGCGGCCCAGGACUGCACGCAGCUGUGGCGGUUGGGGCUGAAAGCCAAGCACGACUAUAGAGGAAGUGCAGCGACUAGAUCCUCGGUGGCGCGCAGGAAGAAGGUUGGGGCCUCACACCGGAAGUAGGCAAGGGCCCGGCGUGCCGGCCUCGCACAGGAAGAGGCAGGGUCACCGGCGGGCCAGGAGAAGGUGGGGUGGGGAGGGGCGGUGGAGGCGUCCUCGCGCCGCCAGAAGCAGGCAAGGGCGCCGAUAGCCGUGCGCCAGGAGGAGGCUUGGGGUGUGGCGGCGCACCGGGCGGAGGCAGGUCGGCGGUGCUGGUGCCAGGAGGAGGCGGGGGAGGCGGCGCCAGGAGGUCCCGCGACAGCGGGAUCUGGUAGAGGGCGAGCGAGGUUACAGGCGUCGGCGGCGGCGGUUCCGCGGCCUGGUGAUGACGGGUCGAUGGGUGGGAGGUGGGGAUCGAGGAAGUGCGGGAGGUGGGGAUCAGGGGAGGUGGGGAAUGGUCAAUCGUUUUUUUCUUUGUUCCAGUGGGUUUGAGAGUUCCGGAAGACCGAAUCGGGCCUAUAUAGGGUGAUCGUGAUCCAAAUAACUAUUCUAAUCCUGAGAUUAGAAUUGUGCUAUCCUAUAUAUAUAUAUAUAGAAAUAUAUAUUCCUACAAGCAGUGGUAGUUACCACCACUUGCGUUUUGUAUGUUGUAUGUAGUACUGUCGAAACCAAAAGUAUGUACGUGUAGUAUGUAGUAUAUAAUAAUGAUUAGGUAGUAUAUAUACAAAUUUUUAGGUAGUAUGUACCAUUUUUUGAGUAUGUUCUUUUUUAUGUACAAAUAUAUAUGUAUUUUAUAAAUAUAACAAAAACUAUGGGCACAUGUGCA
rnacentral:rRNA from 1 species